rnacentral:rRNA from 1 species
UGCCAGCCGCCGCGGUAAUACGGAGGGAGCUAGCGUUGUUCGGAAUUACUGGGCGUAAAGAGCGUGUAGGCUGUUAGGUAAGUCAGAGGUGAAAUCCCUAAGCUCAACUUAGGAACUGCCUUUGAUACUAUCUUACUAGAGAUCGAGAGAAGUUAGCGGAAUUCCAAGUGUAGAGGUGAAAUUCGUAGAUAUUUGGAAGAACACCAGUGGCGAAAGCGGCUAACUGGCUCGUAUCUGACGCUGAGACGCGAAAGCGUGGGUAGCAAACAGGAUUAGAUA